CAGCCGCCGCGGUAAUACCGGCGGCCCGAGUGGCGGUCACUAUUAUUGGGCUUAAAGCGUCCGUAGCCGGGGUGGGAAGUCCUCCGGGAAAUCUGGCCGCUUAAAGGUCAGAAUGCCGGAGGAUACUCCCAGCCUAGGGAGCGGGAGAGGCCGAGGGGAUUCCCGGAGGAGGGGGGAAAUCCUAUAAUCCCGGGAGGACCACCUGUGGCGAAGGCGCUCGGCUGGCACGGGUCCGACGGUGAGGGACGAAGGCCAGGGGAGCAAACCGGAUUAGAUACCCGGGUAGUCCUGGCUGUAAACGAUGCGGACUUUGUGUCGGACAAGCUAUGAGCUGGUCCGGUGCCGGAGGGAAACCGUUAAGUCCGCCGCCUGGGGAGUACGGCCGCAAGGCUGAAACUUAAAGGAAUUGGCGGG
rnacentral:rRNA from 1 species